GCGGCGUGCCUAAUACAUGCAAGUCGAGCGGACAGAAGGGAAGCUUGCUCCCGGAUGUUAGCGGCGGACGGGUGAGUAACACGUGGGUAACCUGCCUGUAAGACUGGGAUAACUCCGGGAAACCGGAGCUAAUACCGGAUAGUUCCUUGAACCGCAUGGUUCAAGGAUGAAAGACGGUUUCGGCUGUCACUUACAGAUGGACCCGCGGCGCAUUAGCUAGUUGGUGGGGUAAUGGCUCACCAAGGCGACGAUGCGUAGCCGACCUGAGAGGGUGAUCGGCCACACUGGGACUGAGACACGGCCCAGACUCCUACGGGAGGCAGCAGUAGGGAAUCUUCCGCAAUGGACGAAAGUCUGACGGAGCAACGCCGCGUGAGUGAUGAAGGUUUUCGGAUCGUAAAGCUCUGUUGUUAGGGAAGAACAAGUGCGAGAGUAACUGCUCGCACCUUGACGGUACCUAACCAGAAAGCCACGGCUAACUACGUGCCAGCAGCCGCGGUAAUACGUAGGUGGCAAGCGUUGUCCGGAAUUAUUGGGCGUAAAGGGCUCGCAGGCGGUUUCUUAAGUCUGAUGUGAAAGCCCCCGGCUCAACCGGGGAGGGUCAUUGGAAACUGGGAAACUUGAGUGCAGAAGAGGAGAGUGGAAUUCCACGUGUAGCGGUGAAAUGCGUAGAGAUGUGGAGGAACACCAGUGGCGAAGGCGACUCUCUGGUCUGUAACUGACGCUGAGGAGCGAAAGCGUGGGGAGCGAACAGGAUUAGAUACCCUGGUAGUCCACGCCGUAAACGAUGAGURCUAAGUGUUAGGGGGUUUCCGCCCCUUAGUGCUGCAGCUAACCGCAUUAAG
rnacentral:rRNA from 1 species